rnacentral:ncRNA from 1 species
UAAAUUGAGAGUUUGAUCCUGGCUCAGGACGAACGCUGGCGGCGUGCCUAAUACAUGCAAGUCGAACGCAUCCCGUUGAAUUGAAGUGCUUGCACUGAUUUUUAACAUCGGAUGAGUGGCGAACUGGUGAGUAACACGUGGGUAACCUGCCCAGAAGC